UCUGGUUGAUCUGCCAGUAGUCAUAUGCUGUCUCAAAGAUUAAGCCAUGCAUGUCUAAGUAUAAGCAAUCUAUACGGUGAAACUGCGAAUGGCUCAUUAAAUCAGUUAUCGUUUAUUUGAUAGUACCUUACUACAUGGAUACCUGUGGUAAUUCUAGAGCUAAUACAUGCUAAAAACCUCGACUUCGGAAGGGGUGUAUUUAUUAGAUAAAAAACCAAUGCCCUUCGGGGCUCCUUGGUGAAUCAUAAUAACUUAACGAAUCGCAUGGCCUUGCGCCGGCGAUGGUUCAUUCAAAUUUCUGCCCUAUCAACUUUCGAUGGUAGGAUAGUGGCCUACCAUGGUGGCAACGGGUAACGGGGAAUUAGGGUUCGAUUCCGGAGAGGGAGCCUGAGAAACGGCUACCACAUCCAAGGAAGGCAGCAGGCGCGCAAAUUACCCAAUCCCGAUACGGGGAGGUAGUGACAAUAAAUACUGAUACGGGGCUCUUUUGGGUCUCGUAAUUGGAAUGAGUACAAUUUAAAUACCUUAACGAGGAACAAUUGGAGGGCAAGUCUGGUGCCAGCAGCCGCGGUAAUUCCAGCUCCAAUAGCGUAUAUUAAAGUUGUUGCAGUUAAAAAGCUCGUAGUUGAACCUUGGGUCUGGCUGGCCGGUCCGCCUCACCGCGAGUACUGGUCCGGCUGGACCUUUCCUUCUGGGGAACCUCAUGGCCUUCACUGGCUGUGGGGGGAACCAGGACUUUUACUGUGAAAAAAUUAGAGUGUUCAAAGCAGGCCUUUGCUCGAAUACAUUAGCAUGGAAUAAUAGAAUAGGACGUGCGGUUCUAUUUUGUUGGUUUCUAGGACCGCCGUAAUGAUUAAUAGGGAUAGUCGGGGGCGUCAGUAUUCAGCUGUCAGAGGUGAAAUUCUUGGAUUUGCUGAAGACUAACUACUGCGAAAGCAUUCGCCAAGGAUGUUUUCAUUAAUCAGGGAACGAAAGUUAGGGGAUCGAAGACGAUCAGAUACCGUCGUAGUCUUAACCAUAAAC
rnacentral:rRNA from 1 species